rnacentral:rRNA from 1 species
UGCCUAAUGCAUGCAAGUCGCACGGAGCUUCGGGCUCAGUGGCGGACGGGUGAGUAACACGUAGGAACCUGCCCAGAAGUGGGGGAUAACUCCUCGAAAGAGGGGCUAAUACCGCAUACGGUCUACGGACCAAAGCAGGAAUGCGCCACUGGAGGGGCCUGCGGUGGAUUAGCUAGUUGGUGGGGUAAUGGCCUACCAAGGCGACGAUCCAUAGCUGGUCUGAGAGGACGGCCAGCCACACUGGGACUGAGACACGGCCCAGACUCC